UACGGGGGGGAGCAAGCGUUGUUCGGAUUUACUGGGCGUAAAGGGCGCGUAGGCGGCCACCGCAAGUCGAUUGUGAAAUCUCCGGGCUUAACUCGGAAAGGUCAACCGAUACUGCGGGGCUAGAGUGCAGAAGGGGCAACUGGAAUUCUCGGUGUAGCGGUGAAAUGCGUAGAUAUCAGGAGGAACACCGGUGGCGAAGGCGGAUCUCUGGGCCAUUACUGACGCUGAGGAGCGAAAGCGUGGGGGAGCGAACAGG
rnacentral:rRNA from 1 species